rnacentral:lncRNA from 1 species
AAAAAGGUAGAAAGGUUUUGGUUCUGUUCAGUUUGGGAACUUGGAUUCCCUGCUCUGUGCCCUGAGUCUCAAUAAACUGUGUCUAGGCAAAAGAAUAGUUCGAGUUGGAUUAGCUGAUCAAGCAUAGCAAGACAGCACAUAGGAGCCUGACAAAACAGACACAGACUGGAGGGCCCGACCUGCCACAGACAGCUUUGAUGAUGACAGCCCACCCAGAAGCAGUGAUGAUGGCUUUGGAUGCAAGUAUCAAGACUGUUAUGAUUCAGAUAGUGGUGGGUAUCAGAAUGGCCUAUCCUGGCCUAUGAAUCCAUAUAGGAGCCGGGAUCAUUAGGGCCACCAAGGCAGCAGAGACUCUGAUAGAGACUGUGAUUCCAGAAUAGGCAAUGGCAGAAGAGCCCUCCAUAGUGAGUGCCAUAGAGAUAAUUACUACAAAGGAGGUGGAGACCAUGGUGAUGACCCAUAUGCUGACAGCUCAUGGGGCUCCAGAGAUGAUUACUAAGACAAUUCUUGGUGCAAUUGUAGAGGUCUGCCCCACAGACCCAGACUGAAUCUGAAACCUGGGAGUACUCCUAAGGAAAACGAUUCUUCCACCACCCCCUUCCAGCCCAGUCGAGCACCUUCCAUCUUUAGAGGGGUAAAGCCUGUUGACACAGCUGCUAGGGAAAGAGAAGUGGAGGAAUGGAUGCAGAAGGAGCAGGAGAGAUCUUCGUGGGGGCCAGAUAAUCCAAAACUAGAAUGGCGGUCAGGCUGGCAAAGGGAAGAAACUCAGGUAUAGGAAGGAAAAGUGAAUCACUGAAGACUGGAACCUCAGGCCCACCUGGCAAAAAUGCAUAAAGAAGAAAAAGAAGUCUCUAGAAAAUCAAAUACUCGGUAAGGUGGAAGAUUGUCACUCUUCAAUUUCUAAGCUUCCCCAAAGGUGAUCAGCUUCUAAAGGUAAUGCCAGCCACCCCACCAAAGGAGAAUGGGUGGUAAAGCACCAUCCUGCUCCAUCUCAGAGCUCUGGCACAGAGCAGAAAUCUCCUAGAGAUGGUAGUGGCUUGGAAGGUAGCUCCAACUCAGCCACCUGAAGAAAGACCAAUAAGGAAAAUUGCAAAUAAAAUGGAUGGGGUGUGUAUCCAAAAAGGCUAACCUGAGAACUCCUGUCAUAAUUCAGGAGACAGAGAAAAAAAAUCACUAGAAGGAGGUAGAUAGGAAGGAGGGCAAAGAGAAUCAAGACUCCAGCUCUGCACUUGUGCAAAGGAAAACAGGAAAAUCCAGCCUCCAAGUUCAGUUCUGCAAGCAGUCUAGUUUACAGUGACUCAGAUGGAGAAUUUAAGAGGCUGGAGAAAACAUAUAUCUUCUUCUCCCCAACAAAAGAAGCAUCACACUUAAAAAAAAUGGUACUGGGGAUUGAGUCCAGGACUUUCACAAUUAAUUUUUGUUAUGAGUCAGAGUCAUCCUAAGUGAAU